CUAAGGAAAAAAACGGUUGAAGGAAGAAAGGGGGCGAAAGCGACAGAUAAGCAGGGAAGCGAAAGCGAAAGGAGAAGGCAGACGGAUCGACGGCCGAACCAAAAGCGGGAGAAAACAAGCAAGUAAAAAAGCAGGAAAAAGUGAAGUAUUAUUACAAUGCAGGAAAAAGUUAAGUAUUGUUCCUCCCGUACAAAAAAAAAACAAACACCCGAUACGGGCCGACUAGUCAAGGGGAGGGUCCACGUAGUCGGGGAAGUCAGCCUCGAGGUCCUUCUCCUCACUGUCGCUCACGUCCACGGGAGGUUGAAAGGUAGGGGCGCCGGCCUUUUCCCAAUCGGCAAACUCUUUGCAGCUCCGGGGCACCACGGCGCGCGAAAGGGGCGGGUAGACAAGCGAGCACAUCUUGCGCCCGUGCACGUAACCCUUCCAGAAGCCGAGACGCUUCGAGUCGGCUAGCAGUACGGCGUGAUCCGCUUGCAUACCAGCCAAGCGACUCUUGAAGUCGGGAAUAAACUCCUCGAUAAAAGAGGCCUGCGCGGCGUCUGCCCGAGCCUUCUCUUCC
rnacentral:lncRNA from 1 species